rnacentral:rRNA from 1 species
UAAACGACUCUCGGCGACGGAUAUCUCGGCUCACGCAUCGAUGAAGAACGUAGCAAAAUGCGAUACUUGGUGUGAAUUGCAGAAUCCCGUGAACCAUCGAGUUUUUGAACGCAAGUUGCGCCCGAAGCCUUCUGGUUGAGGGCACGUCUGCCUGGGCGUCACGC